rnacentral:misc_RNA from 1 species
GGGAAGACCAGUGCCAGCUAAUGCACAUGCACCUAGAGGGCAGAAAUUCACCCUUGCUCUGCAAUCUAAUAAGCGACCAGCAUCACGCUCAAGCUGUUCAACAUAUGCUAAGAGAAGGUGUUGCAACAGAACAGGUUGGGCCCUUUGCAGAUGAGUGUAUCCAGGAACAAUAAGAUCCUCAUUUUGGAGAGAUAAUUCAACCAUUGCAAUCUGAAGAUUCUUAAUGCAUGAAAUGAUUCCGUCAAUAGCAUCACGACACCACAAGCGAAAAUCAGUUGCAACCUGAUCAUUUCUACUCCGGGCAGUGUGAAGCUUUUUGGCAGGUUCACCAACCAAAUCAGUAAGUGCUGCUUCAAUAUUCAUAUGCACAUCCUCUCUAUCUGUUCU